ACACAUGCAAGUCGAACGGGAUCCAGGCAGCUUGCUGCCUGGUGAGAGUGGCGAACGGGUGAGUAAUGCGUGACCGACCUGCCCCAUGCACCGGAAUAGCUCCUGGAAACGGGUGGUAAUGCCGGAUGCUCCAUCACACCGCAUGGUGUGUUGGGAAAGCCUUUGCGGCAUGGGAUGGGGUCGCGUCCUAUCAGCUUGAUGGCGGGGUAACGGCCCACCAUGGCUUCCACGGGUAGCCGGCCUGAGAGGGCGACCGGCCACAUUGGGACUGAGAUACGGCCCAGACUCCUACGGGAGGCAGCAGUGGGGAAUAUUGCACAAUGGGCGCAAGCCUGAUGCAGCGACGCCCCGUGAGGGAUGGAGGCCUUCGGGUUGUAAACCUCUUUUGUUAGGGAGCAAGGCAUUUU
rnacentral:rRNA from 1 species